rnacentral:rRNA from 1 species
GUCUAUGGCCAUGCCGCCCUGAACAAGCCCGAUAUCUGAUCUCAGAAGCUAAGCAGGGUCGGGCCUGGUUAGUAUUUGGAUGGGAGACCACCUAGGAAGACCAGGUUCUGUAGGCA